rnacentral:pre_miRNA from 1 species
CGGGGGAGGCCGGGUCCUGGGCUGUGUCCCGGCGCCCUGUGCUGCGGGGCCUGCACUGUUGGAUUGGCGCUCCCGCCCCGCAGCCCCNN